rnacentral:misc_RNA from 1 species
CAACUUCCACCUGGCAUACCUCUUCAGUUAWGUGUCAAGUCUUGUGUUGCCUUGAGCGUAUUGUGGGUUUCUUGUGUUGCAUACCUGAUUGAUGGUAUCGUUUUGGUUUAUCGAAGUCCCUUUUCACCUUGUGUUGCAUUUGUGAUGCAUGAUGAACCUCGAAGCUGUUUCUUUGUUCCAUUAUGUUGAUGCAAAUGCGUCGAUGUUGUGGCACAUUGCGCGUUGCUUGGUAUCCUGGAUAUGGAACGUUAUGUGGGCAUAGGGUCUCUCAUGAUUCUUGUUUUGUCCUCGUUCAGUGUUCUUUAAAACGACAGUUCAUGCGCGCCCAGGCUCGUACCUGCGUGAUGUUCUUUGUCGAAAAGGAAUGCUACCUGGUUGAUCCUGCCAGUA